rnacentral:pre_miRNA from 1 species
CAAGUACUCCCUCCGUCCGGAAUUACUUGUCAUCAAAAUGGAUGUGUCUAGAACUAAAAUACAUCUAGAUACAUCCAUUUCAAUGACAGGUAUUUUCGGACAGAGGGAGUACAAG